AUGACACCACUCAGAUCACCUCGUUCUGAAAGAGCCGCUGUAAAGUCCACUAGAAUAGAAGUUCGUGAAGUGUCUUUGACAGUGAUUUGGAUCAGCACCUUUAACAGCAGGUCGAGUGCAGCGCUGCGUGUUGUGCUUGAUAGAGGUUCAGUGGUUAAGGCUCUGAGUAACAGAGCAGAAGGUCAGGGGAUCGAGCCUCAGCACUGCCAAAGCAGCAGGGUUUUUGUACGGCCACUAAACCUGUUUGUAUCACUGUGGCGGACUUUUGGUGGAGGAACCAAACUGUCUGUGGGCCGUGUCACUCAGCCCAGUGUGACGGUGUUGCCCCCCUCCAGUGUGGAGCUGCAGCAGGAGAAGGUCACACUCAUGUGUGUGGCCGACAAGGGCUUCCCCUCGGACUGGACACUGAGCUGGAAGGUUGAUGGGAGCAGCUGGAGCUCGGGGGAGAGCCGCAGCACUGCCGUUCUGCACGCGGACGGCCUCUACAGCUGGAGCAGCACGCUGAGCCUCCACCCGGAGCAGUGGAGGAACAAGGUGGUGACCUGUGAGGCCUCCAAAGACAACCAACCUACUGUGGUGGGCAGAGUGAACACAGAGCAGUGCUCAGAGCUGUGA